UAAGCAUCUCGGCCUUUUGGCUAAGAUCAAGUGUAGGAUCUGUUCUUAGGGUGGGUUCACACCACGAUGUUGCUAUACAGUUUCAUAAAAAAAAAAAGUAUGCAACCGUACAGAAAACCGUGCCCAUAGACUCCAAUACGUUUUUUUGGAGGGGUUUUUUUUGGACAGAAAACCGUAACCUACCACAG